GUGUACUGACGUUCUAGCAGGCGCGGUAAUACGUAGGUUCCGAUCGUUGGCCGGAGGUAUUGGGCGUAAAGCGAGCGCAGGUGGUUGUAUAAGUCUGAAGUAAAAGGCAGUGGCUCAACCAUGGUGUGCUUUGGAAACUGUACAACUUGAGUGCAGAAGGGGAGAGUGGAAUUCCAUGUGUAGCGGUGAAAUGCUUAGAUAUAUGGAGGAACACCGGUGGCGAAAGCGGCUCUCUGGUCUGUAACUGACACUGAGGCUCGAAAGCGUGGGGAGCAAACAGGAUUAGAUACCCCUGUAGUC
rnacentral:rRNA from 1 species